CAGUAGCCGCGGGAAUACGGAGGGUGCAAGCGUUAAUCGGAAUUACUAGGCGUAAAGCGCACGCAGGCGGUCUGACAAGUCAGAUGUGAAAUCCCCGGGCUUAACCUGGGAACUGCAUUUGAAACUGUCAGGCUGGAGUCUUGUAGAGGGGGGUAGAAUUCCAGGUGUAGCGGUGAAAUGCGUAGAGAUCUGGAGGAAUACCGGUGGCGAAGGCGGCCCCCUGGACAAAGACUGACGCUCAGGUGCGAAAGCGUGGGGAGCAAACAGGAUUAGAUACCCCGGUAGUCCCUGUCUCUUAUAC
rnacentral:rRNA from 1 species